AUUGAACGCUGGCGGCAGGCUUAACACAUGCAAGUCGAACGGCGAGCGGACGGGUGCGUAAGUUCUGGGAAACUCCCUUAUAGAUGGGGAUAACUACUGGAAGCGGUAGCUAAUACCACAUACCAUCAGAUGUGCCCAGAUGGGAUUAGCUAGUUGGUGGGGUAACGGCUCACCAAGGCGACGAUCCCUCGAUGGUCUGAGAGGAUGACCAGACACACUGGAACUGAGACACGGUCCAGACUCUUACGGGAGGCAGGAGGGGGGAAUAUUGCAAAACGGGCGCAAGCCUGAUGCAGCCCUGACGCGUAUAUGAAGAAGGCAUUCGGGUUGUAAAGCACUUUCAGCGCGGAGGCGUAACGCGCAGAAGGAGCACCGGCGAACGCCGUGGCAGCAGCCGCGGUAAUAC
rnacentral:rRNA from 1 species